CCUACGGGGGGCAGCAGUGGGGAAUAUUGGACAAUGGGGGGAACCCUGAUCCAGCCAUGCCGCGUGUGUGAAGAAGGCCCUCGGGUUGUAAAGCACUUUCAGUGAGGAAGAACGCCUGGUGGUUAAUACCCAUCAGGAAAGACAUCACUCACAGAAGAAGCACCGGCUAACUCCGUGCCAGCAGCCGCGGUAAUACGGAGGGUGCGAGCGUUAAUCGGAAUUACUGGGCGUAAAGCGCGCGUAGGUGGCUUGAUAAGCCGGUUGUGAAAGCCCCGGGCUCAACCUGGGAACGGCAUCCGGAACUGUCAAGCUAGAGUGAAGGAGAGGAAGGUAGAAUUCCCGGUGUAGCGGUGAAAUGCGUAGAGAUCGGGAGGAAUACCAGUGGCGAAGGCGGCCUUCUGGACUGACACUGACACUGAGGUGCGAAAGCGUGGGUAGCAAACAGGAUUAGAUACCCUUGUAGUC
rnacentral:rRNA from 1 species